rnacentral:rRNA from 1 species
AUUGAACGCUGGCGGCAGGCCUAACACAUGCAAGUCGAGCGAGCGGCGGACGGGUGAGUAAUGUAUGGGGACUGCCCGAUAGAGGGGGAUAACUACUGGAAACGGUGGCUAAUACCGCAUACUAUCGGAUAACCCAUAUGGGAUUAGCUAGUAGGUGGGGUAAAGGCUCACCUAGGCGACGAUCUCUAGCUGGUCUGAGAGGAUGAUCAGCAAAAUGGGGACUGGGAAACGGCCCAGACUCCUACGGAGGAAGCGGUGGGGAAUAGUGCAAAAUGGGCGAAAGCCUGAGGAAGCCAUGCCGGGUGUAUGAAGAAGGCCUUAGGGUUGUAAAGUACUUUCAGCGGGGAGGCGUUACCCGCAGAAGAAGCACCGGCUAACUCCGUGCCAGCAGCCGCGGUAAUAC